AAGAAGGCAAACCCUGAUUUUCGUGUCCAACGUUUAACCGUCCGUCUUAUUUGAAAAAUUUAUGAAAAAAAUUAAAAAUACAAGUCACGCAUAAAAUAUUAAUUAUGUUUUAUCAUCUAACAACAAUGAAAAUACGAAUUAUAAAAAAAACUCAUAUAAAACGGACAGUCAAAGUUGGACACGGAAACUCAGGGUAUGCUUUUUUU
rfam:Oryza barthii chromosome 7, whole genome shotgun sequence.